rnacentral:rRNA from 1 species
UACGUAGGCAGCAAGCGUUGUUCGGAGUUACUGGGCGUAAAGGGCGCGUAGGCGGCGCAUCAAGUCAGGCGUGAAAGCCCUGGGCUCAACCCGGGAAUUGCGCUUGAGACUGGUGUGCUCGAGUACGGGAGAGGAUAGUGGAAUUCCCAGUGUAGAGGUGAAAUUCGUAGAUAUUGGGAAGAACACCAGUGGCGAAGGCGGCUAUCUGGACCGUAACUGACGCUGAGGCGCGAAAGCGUGGGGAGCAAACAGG